CCGGUUUUUCCUCCGUCAUUGGGUUUAUGUCCUUGGUCAUCUGAAGUGUUUUUAUUUUAAACUCGUUCACCGGAGCAGACGUCUGUGCAGGGCGACUGUGAGUUUCUGGUGAAACGCGCGCGGGGGCUUGUGACACUGGAUCCGUAUGGCGCAAAAGCCUGUGUCAUCACCGCGCCCCCUACCCCACAGACUUCAACAUAAUACAGACAAUAAAUAAAUUAUGCAUAUAUGUAUUCAUAUACAUGCAGAUGAUACUGUACUCCACAAACUUUAACAUACUGUACAGAUAAUAGUCAUGCAUAUGACCUCACUGCACACAUAAUUCAUAUGGAUGACGUCAGUCCUCAUGCAUGACUCUCUGUAUGCGUACACCUAAUAGACCUCAUGCAUAUGAAGCAUCGAGUGGAACGCAGAGAGGAUGGCAUCUGCCAGCUGACUCCUUUAUGACAUAUUCAUGAAUUUCCCGGAGCAGCCGGUGGUUUGGCGUGAGAUUGCUGUGAUAACGGCUGCGUUACGAACAGUCUGGACAAACAUGCACAGUUUCUCUGAAAGAUGCCACUAAAGUGUGCGUUUGAGUUUAUCGUGUACCGUUGUUGAGAUAAAUAUAUGUUUGCAUCAGUUACUGGUUUCUUGUGUGUUUGUAGGUGUUUUUGAGACUAUUCCCGGUCCAGUGUAAGAUGCUCUUGAGGGCCACAGAACAGUGUUUCAACACACUGGAGAAAGCUGAGAUGCUGCUGCUGUUAUUGAAGAGAUUCCCAGAGUCUGUAGUUCAACACGGAGAUGUGACCUUCUAGCAUUAAUCCAGAAAUGUGUCUUCCUGCCGGUCUGCUGAAUAAAUACAUGCACAAAGCUGCAGAUGUGACGUCACACGGAAGCCCUCAGCGGACAGAUACAGGCCGCACAGGAAGUGGGCGGUCUGAAGUCUCCACGGUGGGGGCGGGGUCAGCGUCAUGUGAUUGACGGGCUGUCAGAGGAGUCGUCAGUGGUGACGGAACCGUGGGAGUGGCUGCUGGAGAUGGUGGGCGUGGUCGGCUCGCUCUGUGAUUGGCAGGGAGAGAAAGGAAGCAGAUAUGAAACGCUUUUCCAGGGUUGGAGGAGGGUUCAUUUAUCAACAUAAGGACGUAAACACGUUAUAUUUUUAAGUAUCUGCAUAACUCAAAUUGGGGCUGGCGGUAUUAUGGUAUGUACCAUGCAACUGUAAAAUGUGUCAACUGGUAGAAUUUGUUGUAUUAUUUGACUGUGGUAGAUGUGUUUACACUGUAAUUAUUAGGGAUGGAAUGAUAUAUCUCAUUUCAAUAUAUCGCAAACCAAAAAAAUGACAAACCAUAUUGUAGCAUAUCUCGAUAUUUCAAAUUUCCGCCAUUGUUUUCUGUCCAUGUGAUCAUAAAUGAAACAACCCGUCAAACUUCAAAAUCUCUUUUGAGUUUUUAUCUACACUGUUUACAGGGUUCACACAAGAUCCUUAAAGUGCUUUUAGAAAUAUAAGUGCUGGAAUACCUGGAACAUCACCUUGUUUUGAGGAAAAGUGCUUGAGCUUAAAUAAGAUCGUUGCCUCCGUGUAAUGUGUGUCCAUCAUAGAUGAGGCGUCUUAAUAUCCGUUCUGUUCUUUACAGUUAGAAAAUAAAGUAAAAAUAAUUAUUAAUUUUAAUCUCAAGCAGCAUGGGUGCACUAAAGAAACCGAUUCUCGUUGAUGUUCGCUGAACCGGGACACUGUGAGCCACUCGUUGAACUCUUAAAGUGACAGUAACCUUUUUUUUAUAGUUUAUUAUACAAAUGAAUGUAAACUUUUUAUUUUUACA